rnacentral:lncRNA from 1 species
GCGCCUAGAAUGUUUCGUAGUGCAUGUUGGAUGCCAGAUGGAGUACACUGUUCUAAUUAAGUAUUUUGUGAUUCCGAAAAAUCCAGCUACAGGAGGCCCUUUAAUAGGGAGUUCAUCCUAUUUCGGCCAGAAUGCGAUUUGAAACAUAAGCUGCACGCAAAGUAACAACAAAUUGCCAUUGUAAAAUCACUUGCAAAUUUAUAGAUAACCAUGCACAUUGGAGUUCAUCCAAUUUUAGCCAGACUGAAUGAUUUGGAACAUAAGUUGCAUGCAAAGUAUACAAUUUGACAUCUCGUUUAACAUUUUUUAAUGAACAGAAAUUGUAGACUCAUAUGUUAUAUUGGUUAGAUGUAGUGAAGAACAGGAUCAGCUCCUCUACCACUACUGAAGAACUGAAUUUUAAGACCGGUUGGGACCCCACCCCUAUCCACCCUACUACCAGACUCA